AGAGUUUGAUCCUGGCUCAGGACGAACGCUGGCGGCGUGCUUAACACAUGCAAGUCGAACGAGGUGCUUGCACCUAGUGGCGAACGGGUGAGUAACACGUGAGCAACCUGCCCCUGGCUCUGGGAUAGCCUCCGGAAACGGGGAUUAAUACCGGACAUGACCUUCUCCUGCAUGGGGGAGGGUGGAAAGUUUUUCGGCCAGGGAGGGGCUCGCGGCCUAUCAGCUUGUUGGGGGGUAAUGGCCCACCAAGACGAUGAUCGGUAUCCGGCCUGAGAGGGCGCACGGACACACUGGAACUGAAACACGGUCCAGACUCCUACGGGAGGCAGCAGUGGGGAAUUUUGCGCAAUGGGGGAAACCCUGACGCAGCAACGCCGCGUGGAGGAUGAAGUAUCUUGGUACGUAAACUCCUUUCGAUGGGGACGAUUAUGACGGUACCCAUAGAAGAAGCGCCGGCUAACUACGUGCCAGCAGCCGCUGUAAUACGUAGGGCGCAAGCGUUGUCCGGAAUUAUUGGGCGUAAAGAGCUCGUAGGCGGCCAGUUGCGUCCGCUGUGAAAUCCCGGGGCUUAACCCCGGGCGUGCAGUGGAUACGGGCUGGCUGGAGGCAGGCAGGGGAGAACGGAAUUCCUGGUGUAGCGGUGAAAUGCGCAGAUAUCAGGAGGAACACCGGUGGCGAAGGCGGUUCUCUGGGCCUGUACUGACGCUGAGGAGCGAAAGCGUGGGGAGCGAACAGGAUUAGAUACCCUGGUAGUCCACGCCGUAAACGUUGGGCGCUAGGUGUGGGUCCCUUCCACGGGGUCUGUGCCGCAGCUAACGCAUUAAGCGCCCCGCCUGGGGAGUACGGCCGCAAGGCUAAAACUCAAAGGAAUUGACGG
rnacentral:rRNA from 1 species